GUCGUUCAGAAUAGUCUUGCAGGAAUUUUUUUCAAAAUCAACCCCCCCCCAAAAAAAGUUAAAUGGUCGACCCCUUACCUAAGGAGGUAUGGGAACAGUCUUAUAUUGCAUGCAGCCACUUGCGCACUUUACCCGAUCAACUUUGAGAAUCAUAUAUGCUUCAAACUACUUGCCAAAUUUGAUUUUUGUUUGCUUUUAAAAUAUAACAAUAUAAUAAAAUACGGCAGUUUUGUUUACGUUCCUCAAUAUCGGAAGCGCCCUGCCCCCCCCUCUCCAUCACCCUCCCCCCCGGAAGGUAUUUCGCAAUAUUUAUACACACGCGUGUUGUGUACUUGUGUUUCAUAUCACCUCAGCAAAAGAGCAGCAUAUAUUUGGCUUCGAAGCUCGUUAAAAACUAUAUAUUGGCCAGAUAUUUCCUUGUGGUUUAUUAAUUUUGGAAGAAAGCAUUUUAUUAACAAGAUGAAAUACGCAGUUGUAUACUGGAUAGCAACAAACGAAACGAGUUGUUUUGGAAGACAGUUGUGUUCGAGAUGCCAACUACUUACAAAUGCAAAUCCGAUUAUAUUAAGAAGGGGAUGAUAUAACUGCCAAGGGAAAAGAAGGCCCAAAAGGCGAUUGGAAAGUCUAUACAGCUCGUGUUUGUAUCUGUUCAUG